GGUUAAGCGACUAAGCGUACACGGUGGAUGCCCUGGCAGUCAGAGGCGAUGAAGGACGUGCUAAUCUGCGAAAAGCGUCGGUAAGGUGAUAUGAACCGUUAUAGCCGGCGAUGUCCGAAUGGGGAAACCCAGUGCAAUUCGUUGCACUAUCGUUAACUGAAUACAUAGGUUAACGAGGCGAACCGGGGGAACUGAAACAUCUAAGUACCCCGAGGAAAAGAAAUCAACCGAGAUUCCCCCAGUAGCGGCGAGCGAACGGGGAGCAGCCCAGAGUCUGAAUCAGCUUGUGUGUUAGUGGAACGGUCUGGAAAGUCCGACGGUACAGGGUGAUAGUCCCGUACACCAAAAUGCACAGGUUGUGAACUCGAAGAGUAGGGCGGGACACGUGGUAUCCUGUCUGAAUAUGGGGGGACCAUCCUCCAAGGCUAAAUACUCCUGACUGACCGAUAGUGAACCAGUACCGUGAGGGAAAGGCGAAAAGAACCCCGGCGAGGGGAGUGAAAAAGAACCUGAAACCGUGUACGUACAAGCAGUGGGAGCACCUUCGGGUGUGACUGCGUACCUUUUGUAUAAUGGGUCAGCGACUUAUAUUCUGUAGCAAGGUUAACCGUAUAGGGGAGCCGCAGGGAAACCGAGUCUUAACUGGGCGUUAAGUUGCAGGGUAUAGACCCGAAACCCGGUGAUCUAGCCAUGGGCAGGUUGAAGGUUGGGUAACACUAACUGGAGGACCGAACCGACUAAUGUUGAAAAAUUAGCGGAUGACUUGUGGCUGGGGGUGAAAGGCCAAUCAAACCGGGAGAUAGCUGGUUCUCCCCGAAAGCUAUUUAGGUAGCGCCUCGUGAACUCAUCUUCGGGGGUAGAGCACUGUUUCGGCUAGGGGGUCAUCCCGACUUACCAACCCGAUGCAAACUACGAAUACCGAAGAAUGUUAUCACGGGAGACACACGGCGGGUGCUAACGUCCGUCGUGAAGAGGGAAACAACCCAGACCGCCAGCUAAGGUCCCAAAGUCAUGGUUAAGUGGGAAACGAUGUGGGAAGGCACAGACAGCCAGGAUGUUGGCUUAGAAGCAGCCAUCAUUUAAAGAAAGCGUAAUAGCUCACUGGUCGAGUCGGCCUGCGCGGAAGAUGUAACGGGGCUAAACCAUGCACCGAAGCUGCGGCAGCGACACUAUGUGUUGUUGGGUAGGGGAGCGUUCUGUAAGCCUGCGAAGGUGACCUGUGAGGGUUGCUGGAGGUAUCAGAAGUGCGAAUGCUGACAUAAGUAACGAUAAAGCGGGUGAAAAGCCCGCUCGCCGGAAGACCAAGGGUUCCUGUCCAACGUUAAUCGGGGCAGGGUGAGUCGACCCCUAAGGCGAGGCCGAAAGGCGUAGUCGAUGGGAAACAGGUUAAUAUUCCUGUACUUGGUGUUACUGCGAAGGGGGGACGGAGAAGGCUAUGUUAGCCGGGCGACGGUUGUCCCGGUUUAAGCAUGUAGGCUGGUUGUCCAGGCAAAUCCGGAUAAUCAAGGCUGAGGUGUGAUGACGAGGUACUACGGUGCUGAAGUAACAAAUGCCCUGCUUCCAGGAAAAGCCUCUAAGCAUCAGGUAACAUCAAAUCGUACCCCAAACCGACACAGGUGGUCAGGUAGAGAAUACCAAGGCGCUUGAGAGAACUCGGGUGAAGGAACUAGGCAAAAUGGUGCCGUAACUUCGGGAGAAGGCACGCUGGUGUGUAGGUGAAGUCCCUGCGGAUGGAGCUGAGACCAGUCGAAGAUACCAGCUGGCUGCAACUGUUUAUUAAAAACACAGCACUGUGCAAACACGAAAGUGGACGUAUACGGUGUGACGCCUGCCCGGUGCCGGAAGGUUAAUUGAUGGGGUUAUCCGUAAGGAGAAGCUCUUGAUCGAAGCCCCGGUAAACGGCGGCCGUAACUAUAACGGUCCUAAGGUAGCGAAAUUCCUUGUCGGGUAAGUUCCGACCUGCACGAAUGGCGUAAUGAUGGCCAGGCUGUCUCCACCCGAGACUCAGUGAAAUUGAACUCGCUGUGAAGAUGCAGUGUACCCGCGGCAAGACGGAAAGACCCCGUGAACCUUUACUAUAGCUUGACACUGAACAUUGAGCCUUGAUGUGUAGGAUAGGUGGGAGGCUUUGAAGCGUGGACGCCAGUCUGCGUGGAGCCAACCUUGAAAUACCACCCUUUAAUGUUUGAUGUUCUAACGUUGGCCCCUGACCGGGGUUGCGGACAGUGUCUGGUGGGUAGUUUGACUGGGGCGGUCUCCUCCCAAAGCGUAACGGAGGAGCACGAAGGUUAGCUAAUCCUGGUCGGACAUCAGGAGGUUAGUGCAAUGGCAUAAGCUAGCUUGACUGCGAGCGUGACGGCGCGAGCAGGUGCGAAAGCAGGUCAUAGUGAUCCGGUGGUUCUGAAUGGAAGGGCCAUCGCUCAACGGAUAAAAGGUACUCCGGGGAUAACAGGCUGAUACCGCCCAAGAGUUCAUAUCGACGGCGGUGUUUGGCACCUCGAUGUCGGCUCAUCACAUCCUGGGGCUGAAGUAGGUCCCAAGGGUAUGGCUGUUCGCCAUUUAAAGUGGUACGCGAGCUGGGUUUAGAACGUCGUGAGACAGUUCGGUCCCUAUCUGCCGUGGGCGCUGGAGAAUUGAGGGGGGCUGCUCCUAGUACGAGAGGACCGGAGUGGACGCAUCACUGGUGUUCGGGUUGUCAUGCCAAUGGCACUGCCCGGUAGCUAAAUGCAGAAGAGAUAAGUGCUGAAAGCAUCUAAGCACGAAACUUGCCCCGAGAUGAGUUCUCCCUGAGACUUUAAGUCUCCUGAAGGAACGUUAAAGACGAUGACGUUGAUAGGCCGGGUGUGUAAGCGCAGCGAUGCGUUGAGCUAACCGGUACUAAUGAACCGUGAGGCUUAACCUU
rnacentral:rRNA from 1 species